UGAAUACGAGAUGCUACGGCGUUGAAGCAGUGUAUGUCAGACUUCCAAGAAAAGCUCGCAAUGUCAUAAAUAAAGAAUGCCUGUACCAUAACCGACACAGGUGGGUAGGUAGAGUAUACUAAGGGGCGCGAGAUAACUCUCUCUAAGGAACUCGGCAAAAUGACUCCGUAACUUCGGGAGAAGGAGUGCCUUAUUUAUAAGGUUGCAAUAACAAGAUCCAAGCAACUGUUUAUCAAAAACACAGGUCUCCGCUAAGUCGUAAGACGAUGUAUGGGGGCUGACGCCUGCCCAGUGCCAGAAGGUUAAAGAAGUUGGUUAGUGUAUGCGAAGCUGAUGACUGAAGCCCUGGUGAACGGCGGCCGUAACAAUAACGGUCCUAAGGUAGCGAAAUUCCUUGUCGGGUAAGUUCCGACCCGCACGAAAGGCGUAAUGAUUUGGAUACUGUCUCGGAGAGAGGCUCGGUGAAAUAGACUUGUCUGUGAAGAUGCGGACUGCCUGCACCAGGACAGAAAGACCCUAUGAAGCUUUACUGUAACUUGAAAUUGGAAUUGGACUUUGCUUGCGCAGUAUAGGUGGGAAGCGUUGAAGAUAUUCUUGCGGGAGUAUUGGAGCUAUCAGUGAGAUACCACUCUUGUAAUGUUAGAUUUCUAACUUUGAACCAUAAUCUGGUCAAAGAACAGUUUCAGGUGGGCAGUUUGACUGGGGCGGUCGCCUCCCAAAUGGUAACGGAGGCGUACAAAGGUUUCCUCUGAACGGAUAGAAAUCGUAUCUAGAGUGUAAAGGCAUAAGGAAGCUUGACUGUGAGACCUACAAGUCGAGCAGGGACGAAAGUCGGUCUUAGUGAUCUGACGGUACUGAGUGGAAAGGCCGUCACUCAACGGAUAAAAGUUACUCUAAGGAUAACAGGCUGAUCUCCCCCAAGAGUUCACAUCGACGGGGAGGUUUGGCACCUCGAUGUCGGCUCAUCGCAUCCUGGGGCGGUAGUACGUCCCAAGGGUUGGGCUGUUCGCCCAUGAAAGCGGUACGCGAGCUGGGUUCAGAACGUCGUGAGACAGUUCGGUCCAUAUCCGGUGUAGGCGUUAGAAUAUUGAGAGGAGCCUUCUUUAGUACGAGAGGACCGAGAAGGACACACCGCUGGUGUACCAGUUAUCGUGCCAACGGUAAACGCUGGGUAGCUAUGUGUGGAGUGGAUAACCGCUGAAAGCAUCUAAGUGGGAAGCCCACCUCAAGAUGAG
rnacentral:rRNA from 1 species